UAUGUUGAAAAAAUCCACAUGGCAAAGAACUGCUGGUGGCCUGUAAGACCUGAGGGCAGCCUCCAGCUGAAAACUGACAGGCAGAAAAAAGUCAGGGUCUUCAGUCUCACAGCUACAAUGAAAUGAAUUCUGCAACAACCUGAUUGAGCUUGAAAUCUGAUGCUUUCCCAGCUAAGCCUCCAGAUGAAAAUGCAGCUCGGUUGAAACCCUGGCUGUAGCCCUGCAAAAACUAGCAGAGAACCCAGCCAAGUUGUGACUGGAGACUCCUGACUUAUGGACAAUAAGAGAGGAAAUGUCUUUUGAAAGCUUCACUGACUCCAAGCAGAUUUCUUCCAACAGUUUCUUGCUUCUUGUGAUGUUAGAAGAGAAAUUAUGCUCCUGUGAGCAGCUGAUGGAGGAUAUCAUCAACAUGGAAGUACUUCUUUGUGAGAGAACUGUCAGCUUACCUUUAUAUUAAUAGAUAUUACCUUUGGACUGUAUCUGUGGGAAAAGAAAAGCUAUUUCAGUCCAAGCGAUUCUCCUGUGUCAGCCUCCCAACUAGCUGGGAUUACAGGUCUCCUUCUGAAGAGGGUGAAAGUCCCUACCCCAAAAUAUGGUCAAGACCUCAUAGCAACACCAAGAAAUCCAGGGAAGAUUUAUUUUCUCACCUCUGUGUUGGCUCAAGAAGAAAAGAAUAGAUUUCAAUGGCAGCUAGUAUAGUAUUAUCUAGAAAUAUAAUUUGUAAAUUUUAAAAAAAUACAAUCCAAUAUUACACAUUGG